rnacentral:rRNA from 1 species
AUGCGCCCUAUUGUUAGUAAAAUAAUUGAUCCACCUCUACUGGUGGCCGACUUGCUUACGGCUGAGGCGUCCUGGGACAUGGACAAAUUGGCCCAAAUCUUCUUGCCUACAGAUGCACAAGCUAUUGCUGCUAUCCCUCUUUGUCCAAGGCAGGUGGAUGACUUUUGGUCAUGGAUCCAUGAGAAGAAUGGUGUUUUCACAGUCCGGUCAGCCUACAGAAUGUUAGUAUCCACAAAGGCUCGCCAGGAUGCUUGGCUUGAGGGCAGAGCAGAUUCUUUAAAUUCGGAGAGGGAGACGAAGGUAUGGACAAGUAUGUGGAAGACCAACGUCCCAUCUAAGGUUAAAAUUUUCUUAUGGAGGCUUGCUCAGCAAUCUCUGCCCACGGCUGAUCUUCUAACUCAUAGAAACAUGGCGACAGCGUCUUCGUGUGGCCUUUGUGGAGCGGACAAUUCAUGGCAGCACUCUCUCCUUCACUGUAACAUGGCAAGAUGCGUAUGGGCGUCAGAAGACCCGGACCUUGCUGAUGUUUUUCACAACAUAAGGGAACCGGAAGCCAAAAGGUGGAUAUUUACACUAAUUGACAGCCUGCAACAUGAUGUUUUCAUCAGGGUCAUAGUGACAUUGUGGGCUAUCUGGUACGCCCGAAGAAAGGCGUUACAUGAGCAUAUCUUCCAGACCCCUCACGCAACCCAUCAUUUUAUCCGCAACUAUAUUAGGGAGCUCGGCGAGAUCAAACCAAAGGGGACACAAGCUCCACCAGCGGCAAGGGCACCCCGCCCGUGCAGAACGCCUCCGGCGGCAGGAUUUGCUAAGAUCAAAGUGGACGGAGCUACUUCCAGGAGUUCAAACAGAGGAUCUUUUAGUGCCGUGUGCAGGGAUGAAACAGGGAAGUUCAUGGGCGCGUCAGCUAUCAGAUGUGUUGGCAUAACUGACCGAGCAGCUUUGGAGGCGCUAGCCUGCCGAGAAGCCCUUUCAUUGGCCCAGGAUCUUUCUCUAACACAUGUGAUGAUAGCAUCAGACUGCCAAGAGGUUGUUACAAAUAUCAAAAUCGAUGCAGGAGGCUUGUAUGGCAGCAUCGUGAAGGAGAUCAAAUCAACUUCAGCUCAGUUCACGUCUUGUACUUCCAUUUUCGAGGGACGUGAGUCUAAUAUUGAGGCACACAGCCUCGCUAAGCACACUCUAGGACUUUCUUUAGGACCCCAUUUGUGGCUCCUCGAACCUCAAGACCUUAAUUGUAUCCCAAUGUAUUUGGACUAUGAUCAUUAA